rnacentral:rRNA from 1 species
GACCGGCAAACGGGUGCGGAACACGUACGCAACCUUCCCAAAACAGGUGAAUAGCCCUCCGAAAGGAGGAUUAAUACACCGUACCAUAAUUUAGUGGCAUCACUUUAUUAUUAUAGGCAGCGAUGUCGGUUUUGGAUGGGCGUGCGCCUGAUUAGGUAGUUGGCGGGGUAACGGCCCACCAAGCCUCCGAUCAGUAACUGGUGUGAGAGCACGACCAGUCACACGGGCACUGAGACACGGGCCCGACUCCUACGGGAGGCAGCAGUAAGGAAUAUUGGUCAAUGGACGCAAGUCUGAACCAGCCAUGCCGCGUGCAGGAUGAAGGCCCUCUGGGUUGUAAACUGCUUUUAUCUGGGACGAAAAAAGGGGAUUCUUCCUCACUUGACGGUACCAGAGGAAUAAGCACCGGCUAACUCCGUGCCAGCAGCCGCGGUAAUACGGAGGGUGCAAGCGUUAUCCGGAUUUACUGGGUUUAAAGGGUGCGUAGGUGGGCAGGUAAGUCAGUGGUGAAAUCUUCAAGCUUAACUUGGAAACUGCCAUUGAUACUAUUUGUCUUGAAUAUCCUGGAGGUAAGCGGAAUAUGUCAUGUAGCGGUGAAAUGCUUAGAUAUGACAUAGAACACCCAUUGCGAAGGCAGCUUACUACGGGAUUAU